rnacentral:tRNA from 2 species
GCCUAGAUAGCUCAGUUGGUAGAGUAAUGGACUGAAGAUCCAUGUGUCGCCAGUUCAAGUCUGGCUCUGGGCA